GCAGCCUCUAGAGGCAUUGCAAGUAUGGUUAAUGGGUUACUGUGUUACAUGCAUGUCAGUAGAGGGGAAAGUCUAUGCCUAUACACAGUGCUCUGAACUAUGAACAUCUGAAUGAUUACUAGCCUAACACU